UACGUAGGGUGCAAGCGUUAUCCGGAAUUAUUGGGCGUAAAGAGCUCGUAGGCGGUUUGUCACGUCUGCUGUGAAAACUGGAGGCUCAACCUCCAGCCUGCAGUGGGUACGGGCAGACUAGAGUGCGGUAGGGGAGAUUGGAAUUCCUGGUGUAGCGGUGGAAUGCGCAGAUAUCAGGAGGAACACCGAUGGCGAAGGCGGCUUGCUGGGCCUUACCUGACGCUGAGGAGCGAAAGCGUGGGGAGCGAACAGG
rnacentral:rRNA from 1 species